rnacentral:snRNA from 1 species
CUGUUUGAACAGCUACUGUA